CCCUUAGACGUUCUGGGCCGCACGCGCGCUACACUGACACAGGCAACGAGCUUUCCUUUACCGAAAGGUAUGGGUAAUCUUUUGAAACUGUGUCGUGCUGGGGAUAGAUCCUUGCAAUUUUUGAUCUUAAACGAGGAAUGCCUAGUAAGCGCAAGUCAUCAACUUGCGUUGAUUACGUCCCUGCCCUUUGUACACACCGCCCGUCGCUACUACCGAUUGAAUGGUUUAGUGAGGCCUUCGGAUCCGCGACUCGUUUGUGGAGAAGUUGGACAAACUCAGUCAUUUAGAGGAAGUAAAAGUCGUAACA
rnacentral:rRNA from 1 species